rnacentral:rRNA from 1 species
AACGUAGGAACCGAGCGUUAUCCGAAUUUACUGGGCGUAAAGCGCGUGUAGGCGGUUCGGUAAGUUGGAUGUGAAAUCUCCCGGCUCAACUGGGAGAGGUCGUUCAAUACUGUCGAACUUGAGGGUGGUAGAGGGAGGUGGAAUUCCCGGUGUAGUGGUGAAAUGCGUAGAUAUCGGGAGGAACACCAGUGGCGAAAGCGGCCUCCUGGACCAUUCCUGACGCUCAGACGCGAAAGCUAGGGGAGCAAACGGG